rnacentral:rRNA from 1 species
AUGCUAACAGGAAAGCGCCCAACUGAUGAGAUGUUUAAAGAUGGCCUGAGCCUUUACAAAUUUGUUGAAAAAUCAUUUCCUCAAAAGAUUGAGGAGAUUCUAGACCCUAGAGUAGUUCCAGGUUAUAGAGAUGAAGGUGAAGAUGCAGGCGGUGAUUUAGACCGGGAAACUCAUCCAAUGGCUGCAAUGAACUGCAUCAUAAAGCUCAUUGAGCUUGGGUUGUUGUGCUCUGCGGAGACACCUAAAGAUCGGCCAACUAUGCAGGAAAUACACAACGAAGUUGUCGCAAUCAAAGAAUCAUUUUCAGCAUUGCAGGGCUGA